UGCAGUUUGCAUUGCACACCUCCUAGCUUGCACCCAAGUUUCAGGCUUUCAGAGACGGUUACCAUUCCAGUUUCUUGGGGAAAACUGGUAUAAGAUGUUUCAGCUACAUGCCUCCAGCUUGUAGGCAAAGAACCAGGAAACGUUGUCGCAUGACAGACAUAUGUUUCUGCACGAACUCUCUUUUAAAUACUCUAUAUAUUAUUACCUCUUUAAUAAUGAUUUUAUAUUUUUUUUUAAAAAAAAAAGAGGAAAGGAAAAAGAGAGAGAGAUAAUGGUUUGUCUCUCGUCUCGCCGUUAAAUGAGAAAUACCCAAUCAGGUAUGAAGCAUAUGCCUGAAGGGGCAGAAACACCUGAAAAAAGCUUAACUACAAACAUGUCUCUACACAUGCAUGAACACCUCCGAAUAAAAUUUCGAGUGGACAGUGUACUAAUUAAAUUGCUGUCGAUACCAGUAAAUAUUAUGGUUGUUAGUAUCUGUCAAGCUUGGUAUCAAAUUGGUUGGUAACUGCUUGUUUGUCAAACAUCAUCGUCAAAUUGGUAAUGGCACACAAAACAUACUGAACCACCAAAAACAGGUGGAGUUGGAGACUUCGGGCUAGAUACUUAGCUCCACUUUGAAAUGCUAGAAUUUCGCAAAAUCGUAUAUAUAGGUACCUUCACAGAAAACAAUGCUGGAUAUAGGAAAAUAAAAUAAAAAAAACUGGCAUUCUGAAGAGUGCAUCAGAUAUGUUUCCUUACAAGCAUUUGUUUCAAACAGAAUGCUACAAGGACAAUGGAGACCUGCAUGCAUUCACUGUUGGUCAAAAACACACUGCGACCUAAUCUUCGCUUGAUUGAAAAUUAGGUGACCCUACCUGCUCCCAAUUUCUCUUCCACCUUUGGCAUGAAUUACAGUAUAUCCAUACAAGUCG
rnacentral:lncRNA from 1 species